rnacentral:rRNA from 1 species
GACGAACGCUGGCGGCGUGCUUAACACAUGCAAGUCGAACGAAGAGCGACGGAAGCUUGCUUCUAUCAAUCUUAGUGGCGAACGGGUGAGUAACGCGUAAUCAACCUGCCCUUCAGAGGGGGACAACAGUUGGAAACGACUGCUAAUACCGCAUACGAUCUAACCUCGGCAUCGAGGAUAGAUGAAAGGUGGCCUCUACAUGUAAGCUCUCACUGAAGGAGGGGAUUGCGUCUGAUUAGCUAGUUGGAGGGGUAACGGCCCACCAAGGCGAUGAUCAGUAGCCGGUCUGAGAGGAUGAACGGCCACAUUGGGACUGAGACACGGCCCAGACUCCUACGGGAGGCAGCAGUGGGGAAUCUUCCGCAAUGGACGAAAGUCUGACGGAGCAACGCCGCGUGAGUGAUGACGGCCUUCGGGUUGUAAAGCUCUGUUAAUCGGGACGAAAGGCCUUCUUGCGAAUAGGGAGAAGGAUUGACGGUACCGGAAGAGAAAGCCACGGCUAACUACGUG